AUGACUUUGAUCUCCGUCCUCAUCUGGACUGUCCUCUGCUGCUGCUUCACAGAGUCCAGAGGACAGGUCACAGUGACUCAGCCUGGAGCAGUGAGCUCUGCUCUGGGAGGCACCGUCACCAUCAGCUGUAGAACCAGUCAGAAUGUUCAUUACAGCAGCCCAAACCACUAUUUAGCCUGGUACCAACAGAGAGAUGGAGACAAACCUAAACAGCUUAUUUACACUUCUUCCACUCGGGUAUCAGGGAUUCCAGCUCGUUUUACAGGCAGUGGAUCAAACUCUGACUUCACUCUGACCAUCAGUGGAGUCCAGGCUGAAGAUGCAGCAGUUUACUACUGUCAGAGUUAUCACUGGUUGAAUAAUAAAGCUGUGUUCACACAGUGA